UGACCCCCACCGCUACCCGGCCCGGAUCCCCGCACCCACCGCAGCCCGGCACAGCUCCCACGUGUCCGGCCCGGAAGCCGCCGUAUUCACAUGCCCGGGCAAGUUCUGACGUAGCCACGCCCACUCUGCUUUCCCAUUGGCUGCGCAGGAGCACUUAUUUGCAUACGAGGGGCGGGGUUGGUGCGUCACCGCGGAGGGGCGGGACUACUGCCUGCCCGGUGUUAGGACGCCGCGGGUAUAGGAGGCGGAUGGUGGAGGUGCUUUGGUUGUAGGGUGCCCCAGCUAUGGUGUAUUCCAGCUAUAUAAUGCUCUAGCUUAAACAGAAGUUCUUGAUUCUGAGGGUAAUGCAGGCACUGGAACAGGUUUCCCAUAGGAAUUGUGGGUGCCCCGUUCCUGGAGGUAUGCAAGGCCAUGCUGGGUGGGGCCCUGGCAGCCGGGGCUGGGGGGUGCCAAGCAGUGCAUGGCAGGGAGUUAGAACUUGACUUUAAGGUCUCUUCCAACCCAACCAUUCUGUGCUUCUGUUUGGCUAUGGGUACCUGGCCAUAGGGCUGUAGCGCAGGGAGCUGCCGCUGGGGACGGUGUCACAGCUGAGGGGCAGUGCCAUGGGGUGCUCGUCCUUGGGGGCAGUUCCCAGCAGUGGGGCAGCUCCAGCCGGGACACAGCAGCAGCAGUGGCGUUUCAGACCGACCUCUCGUUGCUUUGCUCCGGGUUCUCACCAAAGCAACGUCCGAGGUGAUCAGAAGUGGAGAAGGAUCCAGGAGCAACACAACCACCGGCUCGUCCACGCCGUGGAGCCGGGAGACUCCUGCAGCGCCGGAGAGACCGUGCGCCCUAAGGCAGACUGUGACUUGUUGUGGUGGGAUGAGCCAUACAACAACAAAAUCACUAGUCUUCCAGAGGGCACCGCGGCCGUCCUUGUCCCGUGGCCACCACGCUGAUGUCACCCAGCAUUAUGGGGAUGUAGGGAUGCAGGAUGGGUGUCCUCACCCUCUGCCCUGCCUGGUCAGAAAGCCUCUUCCUCACCUCUCAGAGCACCCUGACCCGGUUUUGCUGCAUCCUCCAAAGCGACGGUGCCUGAGGUUCCUCUACAAGAGUUUGGCUGUACGCGGGCUGGAUGUUGUCAACCGGCGUUGUUUUCAGUGCAAAAAAUUUCAGAAGGAUCCAGGCAACGGGAUUCCUCAGAUAAAAAAAGCAUUCCUUCUGUUUGCACGUGCACUGUGCUGCUCAGGGUGCGGCUGCGUCUCUGGAUACCGGGACUCCGGUGCACCCGUGUGCUUGCUGGGAAUGCCGUUUGCUGGGAAUGCCGUUUCUUAGGAAUCUCAUCCUGGCUCAUGUUUCGUAUCCCCAGUGUGCUUGGAGCACCAUCCUGGUGGAGGACUUUGGUGCGCUUGACUGCAGAGCCCCGGCGCUGGGGGAUCCUGGAGGUGGAUCACCUUCUUCCAAACCCCCUUGGUGGCAAACCUCAUCACUUUACUCAGCUGAUAGCCUUUUCGGACCUGGCUAAAGGCUUCUCCAUCCUCCGAUAUGAAGGGUGUCCUGUAGGGUACGGAGGCACCGAGGCUCAGCACCACGGUCAGCUCUUGGCUGGUCCAGGCCCGUUGGGGAAGGUGAAUCUGGGGAGCGAUGCUAGCACGCAGCAGCCAUCCUUUUCCUUCUGCUUCUCCCCCAGCCAACACAAAGACCUUGGCACCAGCAGCCCUGCGAAUUCCUGCUGUUCAAAAGGUUGUAUAAUGGGCAA
ensembl:lncRNA